CAAGCAUAAUCAUGAAACAGGUGCACUUUCUGACUCCCAACAAUUGGCACUUAUAGAACAUUAAAAACAGCAAACAGUUUCUGUAAAAACAGCUUCAGUGAUUUAUGUAAACACUUGACAGCUCACAUGAACAGUUUAUGUAAAACAGCUGCAGUGAUUUACUUAUGAUCAUAGAAAGAAACUGAACAACAAUUCUAUACUGCAACAGCCCGGGGUAAUUUUAUUUUGGCAUCGUCAUGACAUAAUGUCAUCAUAUCACUGAAUGUCCCGACAUCAGCCCCUAUAAAGUCACCCUUCCGCGCGGAAACCCUAGCCUAGCUCCUAUACCAUGUCCGCCACUGCUAGGUAGGUUGUGCCACUCUUCUUUUCUUCCACUCCAAGCAAUCCACCAGCGCCAUGGCCGAGUAGAGGUCGAGCUCGAUGGCAGCGGGAUAACCAGCAUGCCAAGCCCUUCUGCACCAUCUGGAACUAGCCUAGUCCACCUCAAACAUCGCCUCCAAGCCCAAGACCAUGGCGCCCAGGAACCGCGACUUGGCUACGUCUUCUUCCUCGCCAGCAAUGCCUCCACAGCUCGACUUUGUGAUCCUCUGGCCCGCCGGCACUCUCAAGGUGAGCCUCUGGGCCUACUUUUCCUUGCAGAUCUCGCUCGAUUUCAAGGCCCUUCGUAGCACCACUGCCCGACGACGUUCGGCUCCGGUCAAACUCAAGGAUAGCCUCCGUUAGCUUGCCUGGAUGAUAUAGUUCAACUUGCCUUUGUGCGGGCAUCGUUUUGAUGCACACGCCAAUCGUUCUUGGGCACCGUAGCGUCGAGCAGGGGUGCUGCCGCCGCAAGAAUGGUUGCCGGCACUGGUGAGCGGCACCGCAUGGCCAUGACAGAACACCACUUCUUUCUAGGAUUAGAUCAAAAUAGAUUGGGCCCCACUUUCAGCACGAACACGAAUUGAUCCAAAUGGCUAGCCCCACUUGAAUUCGUUAGUGCAAUUGUGGUUCGAAUCUCCAUCGAAGCAAGCCUCCCCUUAUCCGUUUUGAUUUUCUUUGUGUGGCUGACAGGUAGGUCCCGCAAGUCAGAUCAUUAAGCCGCAGAUGGGCCUCAGCCCAGUAGCGUGCUACGUUGUGGCGGGCGUGCGGCGCUUAGCUAUUCCUCGCACCACUUCGGCCCAAUAUCAUUGCCCGUUCGUUUGUUGUUUAAUCUUUUUGCAAACUGCGGUUUUUCCUAAAUUCAAAUAAAAUUCAAUUUAAAUCUGUAAAACGCAUAUUGCAUAUCAAAAUGUUCCUAAAAUUGUAACCUCUCUGUUCAUGUCAUUUGCAUUCUUUUUUGCUUCCUUUAAUUAAAUUUGAAUAAUGCAUUGUUCAAUUUGUUAAAAUCACAACAAAUAAAUAUAGCGCAGAAAGAUAUAGUCUUUAUAUCUAAAAUGACCAGAAAAAUGCAGAAUCCAUUUAUGCCAUUUUAUGCAAGUUAAAUAACUUUAACAUCCUGUUUAGUAAUUCAAUUUUAACUUCAAAUUGCAUAUGAAGUUCUUUUGGAAAACCAACUGCAUUAUGUCUUUGGUGAGUAGUGAAGUUGUAGGUUAAUACAAUCACUUUCGAAUGUCAUGCAUAAUGUUGAUUGGGCAUUGCCUUGAAGCUUAUGGUUGUUACUUUUCUUCUUUGUCGAUAUUUGCUUCUUCCCGAUAAAUCGUAGUACUGACGUUGGUUACGAGGCUACUUACGACUACGCUCCUGAGGAUCUUGCACAGUACCAAGCGGCUGUGCCGACAGGCAAGCAAAACCUCCUUGGUCAUUUCUGAUCCCAUGCUUUCCCCCUGUUGCUUGCAUAUUCGAUGAUGUAGUGAGUCUUUUGAUGGCUAUUUGAUGCGUAGCAUGAUUCUUGUCACCAUGUUACUUGCUUGUGUUGAUGCCAUGUUAUAGCCGUGCUUAUCUUGCUGUAGUAUGCCAUGCUCAGGGUUAUGCUUAAGUUAUGCCAUGUCUACUUGAUGUAACUUCCAGGAUAUCACACGUAUUAACCUGGCUCUGAUAUAUUUAUGUUACAGUAUUCUGGAGAUAAUUUAUAUGUAACAUGUAAUAAAGGCAACGAUGGGAGGUCAUGCCUAGUACAUUGGUGUUUUGUUCCACUCGAGCUGCCCUAGGACCCAAGUUCUUGUUGUCUUGGUCCAAGACUGAGCGUGCUAAUCACUCUUGGGAGGUUUAAUGGGGGCCCCCUUGACCUACUACCUGCCCACAGACCAGUUCGUGUGCCACUUUAGUUCGGGCUUUCCAUUUGGAAUACGCGUAGUUGUAUAUUUCAUGGUCUUCAACGGUAAGCAUAUGAUGUUGUUAAUUUUACCAUUUGGGGAGGUUAUCCUAUAUGGCUCUACCCCCUGAUGUUUUGCAUACAUAUAGGAACGCCUCCAAGUGGUUAUCCUAUAUGGCUCUAGACAUCUUGCGCCCUGUGCACAACAGUUAGGUCCGACUCGGAGCUAUGAUCGGACUCUUGAUUCUGGUAAAACUCAGUUGGGUGGCUCCCUGCACUUUUCCGCAGAAGUGCCGAGUCGAUCCCUCUCUGUAGGCACACAAAAACCUUGUGUAUGAUAAUUGUAUGGUACUAGGGGAAUGCAAAGCUGUGCUAUGAUUGCGGUUAGGUAGGUGAAUAGAGUAGUUGUUCUACAAUGUUCCUUUACUUUUCAACGCUCUCUUUCCUUAUCUCUGAUAGACGCAAGUUGUAGCGUGUCUCUCUAGGGCUUAGCCGCUCAACCCCCUACCCCUUCCCUUUGAGAAUGUUGCAUAUGUAGUGUAGUAUAGAUCUAAUGUAAGUCUUGCAGAGUAUGUCAUUUACUCUCACUUGCUUUUACAAACAACGCUGCAGAGGAUUACUAUGACUCCGAGACAGGAUGCACCAUUGAGCUCUACGCCGAGUGAGGUCUUAGGUGGCAGCCUGAGUCCUCGUGGGAUGGGAUUGUUUGCUUUACUUUCUGGCCUCAUUAGGCGAAUGUUGUUAAACGUGUCUGUACUCAGACCUACUUCGCUUUCGUAAUGUACUGACGUUAUGUUGGGUCAUGACCUCUGGAUGUAAUAUUUCGCUAUCCUGCUUGCGCUUAUGAGCCUUUGCCAUAUAUAUAUAUAUAUAUAUAUAUAUAUAUAUAUAUAUAUAUAUAUAUAUACGGUGGCGCUAAGUGAGUGUGAGUGUAAAACGCUAAUCCUGCGCUCCGGCCAGGCUAAACGCGCCGCUCGGCCAUACCAACUAAUCAUCUUUCCCAUUCUAUAGUAAAAUCCCUAGCAAAAAAAAGUAACGAAAUUAAAUCGUUACUAUGUACAUGUCGUACCCUCCGUCCCGCCCUGUACUACCUACUCUCCUAAUGACUUGUAGUAAAAUUCCUGCUAAAUAUAGUAAUUGAAUUAAUUCGGUUACCAGCACGCGAAACACCUUCUCGUAAACCUUAGGAUUGCCCGUAAAAGGCCAACACCUUCUAGUAAUGUUGUAAACUCUUACAUAAACUAAUUUGAUAGUAAGAAAAGAACUUGUAGUAAUAUCAUUGUAAACUAGUAAAAGAAAUACUAUUUUACCACUCAAACUAGGCAUGAGGUUUGAUAGUAAACCACUGUGUUUUGUAGUAGUAAAGAUGCCACACUCUGUUAUAACUCAAUUUUGGGUUGUCUUCUGAUGGUAAUAUGCUUAGUGCUUGGUGGUAAAUAUAAUGGAUUGUCUUACCACCCACUACUAUAGGGAGAAGCUUUGAUAGUAAAAUGGUAGACUUCCUUACGACUAAAUUUUGGAUUGAUUCUUGAUGGUAAUACACAAUGUGUUCCAUAGUAAAUUUAAUAGAUUCUAUUACCACCCACUAGGUCAAGGAAGGCAUUUCCACGCGGUGGAUUAAAUUAACUACUUCGUUCGCAUGGCGUGGGCGGAGUACAUUAUAAGGUACUAUGCGCUCAAGCAUAGUUUAGCGUGCCUAUAUAUGCGUGUGCGUGCGUGUGCGUGUGCGUGUGUGUUUUGGUCAUAGAGUUGUGUUGUGGUACUGGUACCGUUUGUUUCCAUCCCACGGUGUGUAUGGAUAUAAAGUGCACGUUGUGGAUAGGUUCUCGGAAUCACUAUACUUCUACUAGCGGGUUAUCUAAAUUACGGGGUGAAGCUACUUGCCUAUGAGAUGGAAAUGCAUCACCCAUCUCCUCUAGGGCUUGUGUGGGAAUCUUGGUUCCCUGUCCGAAUAUUGCUCCCGAGGGGAUUGCUGAACCAAUGAUUUCGGGCUUUCUGAUAGGAGAUGGCCCUUGGCCAGUGCAGUUUGGGUUCAGGCGCUAAUCUCGGAUUCCCGUAUGAUUCCUGUGCUAGAUUAGUAUAGUCUUGAUCCCAGGGUCCGACAUAUACCAAAUAAUUUGUAAGUUAUGCUUAUCCAACAAGGACUUUAAUAUUCAUUCACCUUGCUGCAAUUUGAAAAUUAGAUGGCUCAUACAGAUGCAACAAAUUCAGAACAGAAAAUAUUUAGACACUACAACUAACUUUCAUGUUUUCUGAUUAACAGCAAGAGGAGUCUAUACGAAAUAAUCAGAUCGAUUAUAGAUUUACAAUGUAUAAUCAGGAAAAAUUAUUAUAAAAUCAUUUGAAAAGAAAUGUAAGAAAUGUAUCAGA